rnacentral:snRNA from 1 species
UGCAGCAUCAUCAAGAUU